rnacentral:sRNA from 1 species
GCCAGGUGCAGUGGUGUACACCUGUAAUCCCAGCUACUCGGGAGGCUGCAGCAGGAGGGUGACAAGUCUGAGGCAGGCCUGGGCAACUUGUGAGAUCCUGUCUCAA